AGAAAAGAGGCACACACAGAAAACAACCUACCCUGCUAUAACAGAACACUGUUCUACAUAGGGCCAGAUGUACGUUGGCAGAACAGUGAUUUUAAGGAUGAAUUAGUGUUCUAACCUCGUUGGGAUUCCCUUUAUAUUUGUGGUGGUUUAUGACUGAUGUUUAAUGGAACUAUAGCUUUCUGUUUAUAUUUAAUAGAAGACUCAUUUCUGUGGUGGGAUACACAUUUACACUCCAGAGUUGAAUAAAAGCUACCAUUCUACAAGGAGGAUAUUAAAUGUUGAUUUAUAAUGACACAUUUCAAUAACAGUGACCUAAUGCUUCCACACUGUUUCUUCCCAGGUCCUGGGAAGAGCCUGGCUCCAGCAAAGGAUGAUUCUUCUCGUCCAGAACAUUUCUCCUUCAACACAUCUCUCCAUGCUGCAAUUAGACACAGGAAUUGGAAACUUCUCACCGGCUACCCAGGCUGUGGUUGCUGGUUUCCUCCACCGUCUCAAAACAAUGUUUCUGUGAUACCCUCAUCGGACCCACCGACCAAGACCCUCUGGCUCUUUGAUAUUGACCAGGACCCGGAAGAAAGACACGACCUGUCAAGAGAGCAUCCCCAUAUUGUCAGGCAGCUCCUUUCCCGCCUGCAGUUCUACCACAAACACUCGGUGCCCGUGCACUUCCCGGCGCAGGACCCGCGCUGUGACCCCAAGGGCACUGGGGCCUGGGGCCCGUGGAUGUAGGACUUCUGCAGCCCUGGGGAGCCAGACCACCUUUCUGUUACAAGUUGGACUUCAGGCUUUUACUCCUGUACCUCUCGUCUCAUUUGCUCUCCCAGCCUGGGUUCCCCUGGCCCUUCUCUUGUUCCUCAACCACGCUGAGGUGUCUCAUUGCAACCCCCAGCGCAUUUAAAAGCUGAUAAAACCUGGAACACUCCUGUUGUUGGCCAGGGUGUGUGUCUAGGGGAGAGGGUGGCUGAGUUCAAUCUCUUGCUCCUGAGCCGUGGGACAGCUAGGAACUUGACUUGGAAUAGGAGGUUCUCACUGAGUCCUGGAGGCUGGAACAGCUGGCUCUUUUUGCCUCACAAGUCAGAUGUUAGAUCUCCCUCUGCCAAUAGCUGGGUUUUAUUGGAGUGCCUCAUGUUUCUUGUAACAAAUGUAGGGAGCAGACUGUUUUUAAUGGUUCUGUUGGCCAGGGGAUCUCCCUGUCUGUGAGCUAUCAUGUUCAGGCAUUCCAUGUGAAUAACCCCCCUUGGUUCACCCCUCACUUACUCACCCUGUCACUCAUCUCAUCAUGGAGCAUAAGGCCCAUUUCAUAGUUACGGUCAGCAUGGCAAUAUGCCUGCUUCUUGGUUUUGGUUAUUACAGUAAAGAAAUGUGUUUUUAUCCCCAGUUUUUUGUUUUUUUUUUUUCCCCAGCCACUGCUCAUUUUGUCUAGACUUCCUGCUACCCCCCUCCCCUGUGGUUCUUUUCCUAACCUCCUUUUGACUCAGGCAUCCUGUGCCUGGGAAGGCUGCUUCGCCUCUCCACUCUGAGCACCACUGGUUUUUGGAAGACUGCUGUGCUCUAUCUUCCUUUUGCCUCUAACACUGAAGCUAGAGCCCUGCCCAGAGAAGGUGGUCAGGUCUGGCUCUGCAGGCCUGCUCGUGGUGGACAAGAAGUGGCCGAGUGGGUGAUGCUCAGGUCUGUGUCAUCUGUUUGGUGAAGACUUUUCUAAGUUGCAGAGUUUAUUUUCAUGAUCGUGGCUUUGUCUCGUAAUGUAUUAUGAGUUGCAUGCUAUUCCCUAGCAAUUAAGAGAAACCCCAGGAAACAAUAAUUUUGUCUUGGGAUGAUGGAAGUGGCAGUUUGAAAGGAAAUGGCCAGCAUCUGAGAUAUUGGGCCUCAGUAAAGCAAAGGAGACCACAUCCACGUUUCCCUUAUUUUCACUUUUACUGCUUGUGUUGAGGUUCUGGGGUGGGGGAAAGAGGAUGAGCAGUUUGACCCUCCAGCCCUUUCGCAGUCCCACUGAGGUCCUACUAAUGUGGAUCUGUCCAGAUUAGCUCUCAAGAGUGUCAGACUCAGAGAGCUAUGUGCAAAAACUAUACUCUUUUUCCCAAGAGCUCCACUGUUUUGUUCACUGCUCGUCACCAAUGCCUGGAUCAGUGCCUGUUACAAAGAAGGCAGUCAGUACUUUUUUUUUUUUUAACGAAUGAAUGGACAAUUGAACAAAAGAGAAAGUCGCACACCAUGCAAGUGCAGUGAGCUAAACACAUCCUCCAACUGUUGCUUUUCUGUUCUCAAGCUGCCCUCCUGGGGUAGGAACAGAGUCUGCCUAUCUGGAUGGUCACAGAUACUCCAUAGUGAAGCCAUAAUGUCCUCUCCAGGUGAGAAAAGGGGAAACACGCCUGCCAAAGAUACUCUUUUGGCAAUAAUCCUUCAUUCUCUUGUUUGUAGGACACUAGAAACUAAAGCCAGCCAACAAUGUGCUAUAGGUCCUUGUGUAACCAUCCUUCAAUUCAGUAGCAAUAUUUUCUGGUCGCCUCUAAUAUGUAUUGUAUUAAAAUAAGAUGAUUGGAAGGAAAUGGUGCUAGAACUAAAGACACCUAUUAUCAACCUCUACCCCACUCCUGGGGUGGCAACCGGUCAAAAUGCCAUCACCUACCACCCGCACACCUGUGGCAGAUACUAUGAACGAACUGAGCCCAGAUGUUCCUCUGGAUCCUUCUAAUCCCAGUGUCUAUUAAUACCAGAAGACUAGAGGCCAUCACUACGUGACACCCAUUCGCCCUCCCUGCUGUGCUCCCGGGGCCACCCCAGUUCUGUUGGUGGCCAAGUACAACGUGGAUGUUCUGCACUCAGUGGAUUUAAAGGGAGUUGUAAAAACUACUUGUUGUAAAACUUUUAUUUGAUAUUUUAUUUUAUCCAUAAUAGAAUAUAUCCCAUUAGUUUUCUUUAUUCUGUAUAAGGAUGUGAACAGAUUCAUAUUAAUGUUGUUUCUCUCCAAAUUUGCUCACCUUUAAAGAAAAGUUUCAUUGAUUUAAUGGUUUUUCUUUGUUACUACAUGAUUGUUCCAGAUCUGGGGAAUAAAAAGUUACUUUAUUCUUUAAAAUG